rnacentral:pre_miRNA from 1 species
GUAUUUAGGACCUGACCCAAAGUCCAUUGUAGUCAAUGGAAGUCUUUCCAUUGACUUCAAUGGGUUUUGGAUUAUGGGUAGGC